rnacentral:rRNA from 1 species
UACGGAGGAUCCAAGCGUUGUCCGGAUUUAUUGGGUUUAAAGGGCGCGUAGGCGGAUAAUUAAGUCAGUGGUGAAAUCUUGCGGCUCAACCGUAAAAUUGCCAUUGAAACUGAUUAUCUUGAGUACAGUUGAGGUGGGCGGAAUGUAUCAUGUAGCGGUGAAAUGCUUAGAUAUGAUACAGAACACCUAUUGCGAAAGCAGCUCACUAAGCUGCAACUGACGCUGAGGCACGAAAGCGUGGGGAUCAAACAGG